UACGUAGGGUGCAAGCGUUAAUCGGAAUUACUGGGCGUAAAGCGUGCGCAGGCGGUUAUGCAAGACAGAUGUGAAAUCCCCGGGCUCAACCUGGGAACUGCAUUUGUGACUGGCAGGCUUUGAGUGUGGCAGAGGGAGGUAGAAUUCCACGUGUAGCAGUGAAAUGCGUAGAGAUGUGGAGGAAUACCGAUGGCGAAGGCAGCCUCCUGGGCCAACACUGACGCUCAUGCACGAAAGCGUGGGGAGCAAACAGG
rnacentral:rRNA from 1 species